rnacentral:lncRNA from 10 species
GAUCCAGCAGCGAAGAGACAUAUAUAAGCCAAAUCUUUGUUCCUGAAUGUUCUAGGACAUUAGCAGUCUUGUUAAGUUGAACUGAUGUAGUUUUCUAUUCACUUUAAUCACAGGAUAUGGUAGUACUAACAGGAAACCUAGAACUUUAGCUUUCAAGACAUGCUCCUGAUUCUCUUUGUGUAGAAGCAGCCUAGAUUGAAUCACUGCCUUCUUUGCCUGUUGAUUCAAUGGCAUGAGUCAAAGCGGUCAGGUGGCACUCCAGAUCAACCGAGUCAUCAUAUGUCCCCUGACAGAAGAACUCCUCCUUUUGGAACUAAGACCUCUUUACCACCCGAGCCUGAUGUCACAGGGACUGGAAGCAAUCGUUUGUUAGUGAACUGCUAGGGAUAAUAGUGAGAAGAUCCUGUCCUAUUUCCACCCCUUGAUCCCCGUACGCAUGAGUUCUGGCUAAGGAAGAAACAGAAAUAUAUGUUGGAUGCUGAUCUAGAGCAUACUUUGCAUCCUAAAAGACCAUACAUGAGUCUCCAAAAGGACAUUCCACCAUUCUAUCAAGCCAGCUGCUUCAGGGUGACGGGGAACACGGUAAGAUCAGUGGGUUGCAUGAGUCCAUUGCUGUACCU